CCAUGGCAACGCGGCGCGGGAGGUAAAUGAGGGGCGAUCGCGUCUGGCGGCGGCCGCGUCCGUGAGGGGAGACCGGGACCGGGACCCGCCGCAGGGAGAGCGGGGGCUCCUGUGGGCUGCGCUUAAGCGUUGUGUUUUUAUUUCUGGAGCGCGGCGUCUCCGCGACACCGGCGCCUCUCACCCGGCGGGGGGAAGGCUGUGGAGAAUUGGUUGUCUUUUCACGCGGGGGAAGGUCUCCCUAGCUUCGUUUCUUCUGCCCGUGCAAAAGGGGGAAAAGAAGGCUGUGGGUGCUGUGGAGACGGGGAGGGUCCAUCUUCAGGGCUUGAUGUGGAGUCCCACCGCUCAGUAAAAAGACAUAGCCAUGGUAAUACAGGUUUGAUUCUUCUGAAGAGUAUUGAUAAUGCUUUUUAAGGAAAUGGAGUUAAUAUCCAAAAGGUUCCUUCCCAAGGUUGCAGGAUGUAAACUGAACUGCCCAAAUUUACUUUGUGUGCAAGUAUGCACGUGAUUCCGAUUUUUAGUUUUUCUUGUUGUUCUUGGCUACAGGCUGUAAAACUUUGCACACAUCCUAUAACGCCUCAAAUCUUAUUGCUUGUGGUGAAUGAAAAUGCUGCACAAACAUGGAUUUCCCAGUGCUUUUGAAGAUUUUUAGAUGUCGUGCAGGACUGUAGUUUAAAAACUCAGAAAGCAUGGUGGGAAGUCUGAUCGGUGUGAGUCCUGCCUCUACACGCUGAAAAAGAACUGCAUUCUGCUCAGCAUCACGCAUCCUUUGGUUGCCUGGUAAAUCCAUAGGAAAUCCCAGGGUCAUCAGCUGGUGCACCAAGCAUUGGCUCUGGCACUGCCGUACAUGCACGUACACGCACAAGGUGUCACUUCUGACAGCAUUUGUGAUGCUGUACUGUAGCUUGUUAGUUUCCCACGCUUUGGGAACCCCUGCUCUAGGUUGUGCUCGAAUGUGUGAGCUGACUGCAGACUACAGCUUACCGAUGCUGUGUUUCAUGAGAGACGGGAAACAGAAGACAAGACAGUUGCUGACAAUGGCUGAGAAUGUUUAAAGCCUAGAGGUCAUAGGUAUCUGCUGCAGAGGGACUGCAGAAGCAGUAAGGCUGCUCUAGACCAAAGGCAUUCCCUGGUUCUCAC
rnacentral:lncRNA from 1 species